GUUCUGAAGCUCCAAGCGCACACAGCGCUCUUUCCUCUCAAGUGUCUCCAUGAGGACUAUCCUAAGUUAUCAAACGUCUUCAAUCCCCUGUCUUUUAGCAGUUGCUUUGCUCCUGCUAAGUUUUUAGAGCGGCACUCGAAAGAGGUUCGGAAAUCAUCCCCCUUGCUCAUCCAUCCAACGCGCUCCAAUCAGCCUCCCUUGCGGACCUACCCUCCUCUCCCAGGGCCUCCAUCCCGGUUCGGGAGUCCCUCUUCCCGCCUCAAACUUCCCGCAGACCCGCCCCGCGCCCUCCCAGGCUCGCCCGAGCCGCCGCCCCCUCCCCCUCCCGCCGCUCCCCACGUGCUGGGAGCCCAGGUCGCGGCGGGACCCACGCACCGGCUAAGAGCCAGCCAUUCGCCGGUCUCCUCUCGCGGCCCGGUCGGCACCAAGCUGAAGAGGCCGAGGCAGGGCCGCCAGACCGGCGCUUGGCGGGGCGGAGGGAGCCGACUCCAGUCGACGGCCUCCCCCGCGCCCAGGCCCGGGAUCUCCGCCGCCGAGGUCCUAGAGCUCCGGCGUCUCCGGGUAAGGAAGAGUCCGUGCGGGGGAGGGGGAGAGGGGACAGACGCGGAGGGGAAGGGGAAGGGGAAGGGGAAGCCCUGGUCCGCAGCACCAACGCGCGAUCCCCUGCGGAGUGGAGCUAACAAUUCAUUAUUGAAGCACCAACGGCGAGGGCAGCAAGAACUAGAAGUAACGAGUCGUCGCCGCCGCCGCCGCCGCGCGCGCUCCCGCUCCCGCCGCUUAUCUGCCCCCGGCAGCCGCCAUGACGCCGAGAGAGCGAGCGAGCGCAACCGUCUCCGUCGUAGCCGCCGCCGCCACCGAGGUCGCCGUCGCCUCCGCCUCCCGCGCGACGUAAGCGCCUUUGCUCACUCCCCUUCCCGACAGAGCGCGAGGCGGGCAGGGGAGCGGGCGAGUGCGCGCACGCCGAACCCUUUCGGCUCGCGCGCGGGCGGCGGGAGGGACUACGUUUAA
rnacentral:lncRNA from 1 species